rnacentral:rRNA from 1 species
UACGUACCGUACGAACGUUAUUCGGAAUUACUGGGCUUAAAGGGUUUGUAGGCGGCCUUGUAAGUCAGGUGUGAAAUCCCUCGGCUCAACCGAGGAAUCAGCGCUUGAUACUGCAGGCUUGAGGGAGACAGGGGUAAGCGGAACUGAUGGUGGAGCGGUGAAAUGCGUUGAUAUCAUCAGGAACACCGGUGGCGAAAGCGGCUUACUGGGUCUCUUCUGACGCUGAGGACGAAAGCUAGGGUAGCGAACGGG